AGCGAACGCUGGCGGCAGGCCUAACACAUGCAAGUCGAACGAACCUUUCGGGGUUAGUGGCGGACGGGUGAGUAACACGUGGGAACGUGCCUUUAGGUUCGGAAUAACUCAGGGAAACUUGUGCUAAUACCGAAUGUGCCCUUCGGGGGAACGAUUUAUCGCCUUUAGAUCGGCCCGCGUCUGAUUAGCUAGUUGGUUGAGGUAAUGGCUCACCAAGGCGACGAUCAGUAGCUGGUCUGAGAGGAUGAUCAGCCACAUUGGGACUGAGACACGGCCCAAACUCCUACGGGAGGCAGCAGUGGGGAAUCUUGCGCAAUGGGCGAAAGCCUGACGCAGCCAUGACGCGUGAAUGAUGAAGGUCUUAGGAUUGUAAAAUUCUUUCACCGGGGACGAUAAUGACGGUACCCGGAGAAGAAGCCCCGGCUAACUUCGUG
rnacentral:rRNA from 1 species